rnacentral:rRNA from 1 species
AUUGAACGCUGGCGGCAGGCCUAACACAUGCAAGUCGAGCGGCAGCGGGAAAGUAGCUUGCUACUUUUGCCGGCGAGCGGCGGACGGGUGAGUAAUGCCUGGGAAAUUGCCCAGUCGAGGGGGAUAACAGUUGGAAACGACUGCUAAUACCGCAUACGCCCUACGGGGGAAAGCAGGGGACCUUCGGGCCUUGCGCGAUUGGAUAUGCCCAGGUGGGAUUAGCUAGUUGGUGAGGUAAUGGCUCACCAAGGCGACGAUCCCUAGCUGGUCUGAGAGGAUGAGCAGCCACACUGGAACUGAGACACGGUCCAGACUCCUACGGGAGGCAGCAGUGGGGAAUAUUGCACAAUGGGGGAAACCCUGAUGCAGCCAUGCCGCGUGUGUGAAGAAGGCCUUCGGGUUGUAAAGCACUUUCAGCGAGGAGGAAAGGUCAGUAGCUAAUAUCUGCUGACUGUGACGUUACUCGCAGAAGAAGCACCGGCUAACUCCGUGCCAGCCGCCGCCGUAAUAC